GCCAAGCAGCCGCGGUAAUUCCAGCUCCAAUAGCGUAUAUUAAAGUUGUUGUGGUUAAAAAGCUCGUAGUUGGAUCUCAACAGCCUUGAAGCGGUUAACUUUGUAGUUUUACUGCUUUAUAGGCUGUGCUUUUGCUGGAGGUUUAGGGGUGCUCUUGAUCGAGUGUCUCUGGAUGCCAGCAGGUUUACUUUGAAAAAAUUAGAGUGCUCAAAGCAGGCUAAAAUGCCUGAAUAUUCGUGCAUGGAAUAAUAGAAUAGGAUGUCGAUCCUAUUUUGUUGGUUUUCGGGACUCGACAUAAUGAUAAAUAGGGACAGUCGGGGGCAUUUGUAUUCAAACGACAGAGGUGAAAUUCUUGGACCGUUUGAAGACAAACUACUGCGAAAGCAUUUGCCAAGAAUGUUUUCAUUAAUCAAGAACGAAAGUUAGAGGUUCGAAGGCGAUUAGAUACCGCCCUAGUUCUAACCAUAAACGAUGCCAGCUAGCGAUCUGCCUGCGUUUUUACUGUAGACUGGGCAGGAAGCUUCCGGGAAACCAAAGCAUUUGGGUUCCAGGGGAAGUAUGGUUGCAAAGCUGAAACUUAAAGGAAUUGACGGAAGGGCACCACCAGGAGUGGAGCCUGUGGCUUAAUUUGACUCAACACGGGAAAUCUCACCAGGCCCGGACACUGGAAGGAUUGACAGAUUGAUAGCUCUUUCUUGAUUCGGUGGGUGGUGGUGCAUGGCCGUUCUUAGUUGGUGGAGUGAUUUGUCUGGUUAAUUCCGAUAACGAACGAGACUCUGUCCUGCUAAAUAGUUUCUACUUCUCUUUUGAGUAGAAAUUUCUUCUUAGAGGGACUGGUGACUCUUAGUCACACGAGAUUGAGCAAUAACAGGUCUGUGAUGCCC
rnacentral:rRNA from 1 species